GAUCAAUGUAAGUUGUAUCCUUUUAUUAUGUACCUUCUGCAUCAACUUUUUCCCCUUCUCUUCCUCUCCGGCGGCCCCUUCACCUCAAAGUUCCACCGCUUCUGGCAAGCCUCCAUCUCCUCCGGCGAAGCUCCAUCGGUUUCGUCAAUCCUCCACCGCCGCCAUUCCCACCUUCGACGUUGCCGCGUGCCUCGCCUUCACCGCAAAGAACGGCAUUAACGUUUUGCCACAAAGAACAACCGCAAGGAGGCUCGGUCAUCUUGACCGCUGGCAACGAACGAGAUCCUAGUCGCGACAAUGAGCUCCCACUGUAUUUGCCGCUUUUCGCCUCUGGUGACGACACCUCUAGCGGCGGCAACGGCGAGUGACUUAUCCACAUCAACACCGACGUAAAAAAAUCAAAGCUUUUUCAGCAAUUUUGUUUCUGGAGAAGUGCGAGAAGAACUCCAACUCCGAUGACAAUCUCAAUUGUACUACCAAAAUCUUACUCAACAUGAUUGUUCCCAGUGGCUCGAGUGGCGGAGAGGCAUCGAUUGUUGCGGAAUUGGUGGAAGUGGAGGAAAAUUCAAGCAGGAAAAUGCAGACAUUGCGUAUUCCUCCUGUCAUAACGGUCAACAAAACUUCUGCAUAUGCCUUGGAUCAGUUAAUAUACUCACAUACAUACAUACGAGAUGUUCCUUAUAAACCUGAAGAGUAUUAUGUUAAGACACGCAAAUGCGAGCCAGAUGCUGGUGCAAAUGUCGUGAAGAUAUGUGAAAGGCAAACCAUGUUUAUUGCUAUUUUAUUAUGAACUAGACACUGACUAGAGCUUAGACAAUGCAAAUUUCACGGCUUGGUUUCUGCUAAUUGUGUUGCAGACUGCGAGAUGAAGAGGGUCAUAUUAUUGAGUACACUCAGCCAAAUAUGUUGUCCAUGUGGGCCCCAGCGGCGGAUGCCUUCAUCAUGUGGAAACUUUUUUGACAAAUUGACGAAAGGAAAGACCAACACUGCACAUUGUGUGCGUUUCCCUGGUGAUUGGUUGACGAAUUAAGUCGGCGAGGAUCACUGUCUUGAAAGCAUUUCUGUUGAAGGGAGGCCAAUGAAUUUUCCGGCGGCUUUUCUUUCAACCGUUGUACACCGUACUACUAUUAUUUAGUUCAUUGUCAAUCCUCUCAAAAUUAAUUGAUUUUCCUAUCAGCUAUUAAUCUAUUCAACGACUGAGCAUUUGGGUUUUGAAAAACAAUCACCCUAAUAUUCUUAAAGAUAGUCCUAUAUACCAACGUUAAUAAUUUCAAGUUUCAACAGUAAUAACUCGCAGGAAUC